AGAGGUGACAAGCGUUGUUCGGAUUUAUUGGGCGUAAAGCGAGUGUAGGCGGUUUGUUAAGUCAGAUGUGAAAGCCCAGGGCUUAACCCUGGAAGUGCAUUUGAAACUGGCAGACUUGAGUACGGGAGAGGGUAGUGGAAUUCCGAGUGUAGAGGUGAAAUUCGUAGAUAUUCGGAGGAACACCGGUGGCGAAGGCGGCUACCUGGACCGAUACUGACGCUGAGACUCGAAAGCGUGGGGAGCAAACAGGAUUAGAUACCCUGGUAGUCCACGCCGUAAACGAUGGGUACUAGGUGUUGUGGGUAUUGACCCCUACAGUGCCGCAGCUAACGCAUUAAGUACCCCGCCUGGGGAGUACGGCCGCAAGGUUG
rnacentral:rRNA from 1 species